AACGUACAAGUUCCGUUAUGCCAAUUAUUCGUCCCCUGCCGUCCUUCGUGAGUACAAGGAUUACAUCAAUCGUAAUUUAGCAGGAAGAAAGGAAACUGGCAGCCAACGAUCGUGGACUUGUUUUUAGAGAACGCGGAGAAAUUUUGGAAACUGCCUAAAAGGCCUCUUUGCAGUAGGGAACAGUAGGGAAUGUAAGGAAUUGGCAAAUAUAUCCGGAGGAAGAAACAGUAGGGGAUUUGAUAACGCCGAGUAUUAUGCUAGGGAAUUGGCAAGUCCUCGCGCGAUAAGCUGUCAGCACCGCUAGGCGUCUCGUUCUCUCUCGUGUCGUGUCGUGUGUUGCGCGAUUGCUCCAGAACUCCAGAUGGCCGACAGCCGCAAUCAGAUAUCACGGCGCGCUGGUCCGAUUCGCGUGUAUGCACGUACGCCGACGAUCUUUUCUUCGUAUCAGCUAAUGCCACUUGUCGUAAGUAUCGUCACUCGGUAGAUCGGAUCUGCUCGAGUUGUACCGCAGAAUGCAGUAGCCACGGUCGCCGACGACUGCUGCUGCGAGAUACGGAGAUAGUGAGCUAUUACGAGAUAUAUAGACGUCGCUCGCGAACAGACUUUUGGAAGGUUAGGCGCGAGGUUUGCGUAGCCGAGCACGAUACGGAUAGGGAGGACGCGCGAUCCCGAUCUCGACGCUUGGACGAUGGACGGAAAAAUCGACGACGAGAAUCAGCGAGGCGUCAACGACGGGGACUGGGUCUGCCCCGACUCGCAAUGUGCCAACAUAAACUUUGCCAGGCGUAACUCCUGCAAUCGCUGUGGGAAAGAUAGAGGCGAAUGCCCAAAAAAGAAAAAAUUGGGUCAGGAAAUUGGAAAAGCAGCUGCGGAAAAAAGUAGAGGCCUCUUUAGCGCGGACGAUUGGCAAUGCAGCAAGUGCGGUAACGUAAACUGGGCUCGCCGACAACAGUGUAAUAUGUGCAACGCCCCAAAAUUCGGUGAGAUAGAGGAACGUACGGGAUAUGGAGGUGGAUAUAACGAUCGAGGAGUUGUCGAAUACAAGGAGAGGCGAGACGAUGACGACGAGUAUGAUGAGUUUGGACGGCGUAAAAAAAAGCGAAAAUUAGAGAAGAAUUCUGACGACGACUCAAAGGACUCCAAGUAUAACAGCCCGUCACGUAAUAAAUCUAGAGACAAGGAAGAGAGAGUUGAAGUAGACGAAGAGGAGCAAGAAGAAAAUGAGGAAGAGGAAGAUGAGGAGGAGGAGGAAGAGGAAGAUGGUGAUUUAUCUAAAUAUGAUCUUAGCGAAUGGGAUGACUUCGCGCCAGCAAAAAAAAGUACAAAUGGAAGUACUAUAUCUUCGGAAGCGGAACGGUCAAGGUAAAUUAAUAGCGAAACGGAGAUGAUCGGCGCGAUUCAGGCACAUCCAACUAAUGAAAGGCUGUACAGAAGGACAGGCGAACCAGGAGACGAAAGAACGCAACCAGUGUUCGGCAACUAAGAAAUAUACACAACGCAACAAGUUUUUAGUAAUUUAGUAUGCACCUUUGAAUAUAAAGUGGCCGAUAAUGUGUGACUUAUUACAAAGGGAAGUCGAUUAACGAUAAGCUUUACAUUUAUAAUUGAGCUCAUAGUUUCGUUGAUCCUAAAAAAGCGAAAUGUAGGUCUCCUAUUUGCGCGGGUAUAUCGUUGUUCGUAACGAUUGCAAAGUUUAUGAAAAACUUCGGCGCAAGUAGUAUGUUUCGCUAGCGAGAUACGAGAUUAAUAAUUCCAACAUGAAUCUAUAGAAGAAAUUAUACACAGCUCGUUUUACAAGCUAAAUAUGACGUUGUAGAAAAAGAUCUUACUCCUAUGUAAUAGAUGGUGUUAACGCUCUGCGCAAGCCCCGUCGCAGUGUUCUAAGAUUCUUAUUACUUUAUCACAAACGUAACUAUGUCGAUGUAGCCGUGUCACUGCUUCACAUUGCUCAAGUUGCCUGAAGGAACCUAACUUUUCUUCUUUUGUCCCCUCAUCUCUCCCAUUUACAUCAUUCAUCUAUGCAUAACGCUCGGAUUAAGCGGACAAUUGUCAAGUGUAGUAUUAAAGAAUCAUUCCCCAAACAGCAGAUAUGUAUUUUGCAUCUUUUGGAAGAGACCAAAAGGAAAGGAUACAUUCUCUUGCUUUGACUAUCACAGAUUCGAGUAAGUUGAGAAACAGCCUGCUCACUUUGAAAGUAGCGCUUUUUAAAUUAGUCGUGUCCCGCGUCCUUACGGAUACGGAACUUGUCGUGAACUCCGACGGCCAUUCUUGAAUCGCAAAACGAUUAUCGAUCAACUAUCGUACUGACUUCUUGUAAAUAUCUUUAUUUUUCAUUUAUAAUAAAAAUCAUUCAUCAACAA
rnacentral:misc_RNA from 1 species